AACCCAUGGAGCCCAUUCGCAUGAAACUGACUGUGUAAAGACUUUGGCUCCAUGGCGAUUAAACUGUAUUCGUGUGGUCUGAACGCCAUUCGCUUAAUAAUGUGCGCUCAGACCUGAGCUAUCUGGGGAUAUGUAGAACUUCUCAAUUAUCUCCAGAGCAGAGAGGAGGGAUUGUGAUGCAUUGUGGGAUGGUUGAAAUGUGUAAGUCUGUGAUUGGUCCUUUUACCCUUUGUAUCCCAGUCUCCCAUUUGGUCCCCUAGGGGAGUGUUCACCAGGUGGGAGACCUGCAUAAAAGCCGGGCAGUUAGCCCCAGUAAAU